rnacentral:rRNA from 1 species
UUGAGCGAUUUACUUCGGUAAAGAGCGGCGGACGGGUGAGUAACGCGUGGGUAACCUACCCUGUACACACGGAUAACAUACCGAAAGGUAUGCUAAUACGGGAUAAUAUAUUUGAGAGGCAUCUCUUAAAUAUCAAAGGUGAGCCAGUACAGGAUGGACCCGCGUCUGAUUAGCUAGUUGGUAAGGUAACGGCUUACCAAGGCGACGAUCAGUAGCCGACCUGAGAGGGGGAUCGGCCACAUUGGAACUGAGACA